rnacentral:rRNA from 1 species
CCCUAAGAUGUCCUGGGCCGCACGCGCGCUACACUGACGCACGCAGCAAGCUUCAUCCUGACCCGAAAGGGAUUGGGUAAUCUUCACAAAAUGCGUCGUGCUAGGGAUUGAUCUUUGCAAUUCUGGAUCAUGAACGAGGAAUUCCUAGUAAUGUUGUGUCAUCAACGCGACAUGAUUAAGUCACUGCUCUUUGUACACACCGCCCGUCGCUCCUACCGAUUGAGUGGUCCGGUGAACUUUUUGGACUUGGCGCCUAGCGUCCGGGGAAGUUAAGCAAAUCUUAUCACUUAGAGGAAGGAGAANUCGUANCA